rnacentral:rRNA from 1 species
CACGUAGGGCGCAAGCGUUGUCCGGAAUUAUUGGGCGUAAAGAGCUCGUAGGCGGUCUGUUGCGUCCGCUGUGAAAACUCGGGGCUUAACCCCGAGCCUGCAGUGGAUACGGGCAGACUAGAGGUAGGUAGGGGAGAAUGGAAUUCCCGGUGUAGCGGUGAAAUGCGCAGAUAUCGGGAGGAACAUCUGUGGCGAAGGCGACUGCCUGGACCAGCACUGACACUGAGGCACGAAAGCGUGGGGAGCAAACAGG